GCGGGCCAGAGACACUCACUUCCUUCCCUGGGCAGGAAGCGGACGGCAGACCGGACAGAGGUGCUCGCCGUGCCCGCGGUCGCCUUCUCAAGCCAAGGAACAGAAAAACAGUUCCUGAAUGGCUUCAGGGAGCUCCCUAAGAGGCAGGGCCUGCGUCGGGGGUGAAAAGGUGGCUGCAACCACCCCGUCCCGUCCUGGACGGGAAGUCACACUGAGAACAACGCAGGGAAACCCGGCCUAAUUCCCAGGCUAGCCCAGCGCACCCGCCUCACCCACAAAGCAGAGAUCGAACUCGGGACCUUGCACUUGCGAGGCAGGUGGUGGAACCACUGAGCUAAGUCCCCAGCCCUAUAACAACUUCUUGGGGCAGGUGUUACUAUUACCCACUUGGCCAGGCAUGGUGGUGCGCGCCUGCCAUCCCAGCACUCAGGAGGCUGAGACAGGAGGAUUGCGGAGCCCACCCAGGCUACACACCUCCCCAGAGUGCCAGGAUGACAGGCGGGCGUCGCCAUGCCCAGCUUUCCUGUGUCUUUCUUGAGUGGUCCUCAGCAGUGAAACGCAGGGAGGAGUCCUGGAUUGACCAACCCCACCUCCUAACAGCUCAUUCGGCUAUGGACUCACCAGUGGAUUCAUGUAUGGGCUGAAAUGAAGCUGUAACCCCCCAGUGGGUACU
rnacentral:lncRNA from 1 species